CCUACGGGGGGCUGCAGUGGGGGAUAUUGCACAAUGGGGGAAACCCUGAUGCAGCGACGCCGCGUGUGGGAAGACGGCCUUCUGGAUUGUAAACCACUGUCCCCAGGGACGAAAAUGACGGUACCUGGGGAGGAAGCUCCGGCAAACCACGUGCCAGUAGCCGCGGUAAUACGUAGGGAGCAAGCGUUGUCCGGAAUUACUGGGUGUAAGGGGAGCGUAGGCGGGGAUGCAAGUUGGGUGUCAAUGCUACCGGCUCAACCGAUAGUCGCACUCAAAACUGCAACUCUUGAGUGAAGUAGAGGCAGGCGGAAUUCCUAGUGUAGCGGUGAAAUGCGUAGAUAUUAGGAAGAACACCAGUUGCGAAGGCAGCCUGCUGAGCUUUUACUGACGCUGAGGCUCGAAAGUGUGGGGAGCAAACAGGAUUAGAUACCCGAGUAGUC
rnacentral:rRNA from 1 species